CCUACGGGAUGCAGCAGUGGGGAAUAUUGGACAAUGGGGGAAACCCUGAUCCAGCCAUGCCGCGUGAGUGAUGAAGGCCUUAGGGUUGUAAAGCUCUUUCGCUGGGGAAGAUAAUGACGGUACCCAGUAAAGAAGCCCCGGCUAACUUCGUGCCAGCAGCCGCGGUAAUACGAAGGGGGCUAGCGUUGUUCGGAAUUACUGGGCGUAAAGCGCACGUAGGCGGGUCGUUAAGUUAGAGGUGAAAUCCCGGAGCUCAACUCCGGAACUGCCUUUGAUACUGGCGGCCUUGAGUUCGAGAGAGGUGAGUGGAAUUCCGAGUGUAGAGGUGAAAUUCGUAGAUAUUCGGAGGAACACCAGUGGCGAAGGCGGCUCACUGGCUCGAUACUGACGCUGAGGUGCGAAAGCGUGGGGAGCAAACAGGAUUAGAUACCCCAGUAGUC
rnacentral:rRNA from 1 species